rnacentral:lncRNA from 1 species
UGGGUGUAAUUUACUCUUUAUUAUUUGUACCUUUCGUCUUUCAAUGAAUCAUAAGAAACCCACUAAACACAAUUUGAUAUUAGCUUUCCAAAUGGCAGAAGCAAUAUAUGGCCCCUUGCCUUGAACUAAACAACUGAAUACACAAACAUGAAGCGUUAGCUGCUCCCAAAUGAACAGAUAUAAUACAGUGGUUGGUGUUACACUGAAGUUGACCGUAACUAGGAGGGCUCGGCAAUUCGAAAUUCACUACAAGAGCACAAAAGAUUUGAAACUCUUGACCGAACUAGAUACUGGAUCUUACAAAGACUUUGGUCUUCUUCAGUCUCUCUUAACAUGUUCAUCUCACAACUACCAUGCUGGGUGAGAUUUGUUCAGAGUUAUCGCUUAACUUGAUCUCAGCCCUUCCAUGCUCGAUGAGAUUGGCAUAGAAGGCUUGACCAUCUCCAACUCUGAAGACAUGAGUACCCAACUAACUGAGCAGUUUAUAAUGGAACAUCAGCGGUGGCCUAGUGAGUGCCCAUUCAAUGAAAUUACAGGCACUGAACAACCUGAUGCAAAUCAAAAGCUAGUACCUACCUACAAUUUUUGUGUGAUAGUGCCCUCUCUUGUGCUCCAUAAAUAAAUGAGCACAAGAUUGAAGGAGCACGACGACUCUAUGUUGCAACAUGAGAGAGAUGACCAUUUUGUUUUUGGUGAAAAGAGAGACAAGAUGUUCGCCCGGCCAAUUGCUCUGUAGUUGCAGGCUUGGAAGGCGUCAGGAUUCAGAAGGGCACUUUGCACUUCCUGUGUAGAAGCUCCCUGUAGAUGUAGGCUUCCGAGGUAGUAGAAGCUCUCGUUUCAAUAUUUUUUAGGCAGGCUCUAUUUCCAUUAUCAAAAAACGGGAGUACAGGGUCUGCAGCAAGUUUAGUAAAAACAAGAGUAGACGAAGGAGCUUAUCAUCCCUUGUAAAAGCCGAAGAUCUGUUUCACACCUCUAGACUUAACCAGGGGAAAGAAAGCAACAGUUUGCUAAAACUCUAUACCAUUACAGCCACCAUGAAUUUAAGGCUGAUGAAUGUGGCAACGUGCUGCCUUGUUAGUGCAUAUCUUGACUAGCUGGUAACUCAA